UACGUAGGGGGCAAGCGUUGUCCGGAUUUAUUGGGCGUAAAGAGCGUGUAGGCGGCCAUACAGGUCAGCUGUGAAAACUCGAGGCUCAACCUCGAGACGUCGGUUGAAACCGUAUGGCUAGAGUCCGGAAGAGGAGAGUGGAAUUCCUGGUGUAGCGGUGAAAUGCGCAGAUAUCAGGAAGAACACCAAUGGCGAAAGCAGCUCUCUGGGACGGUACUGACGCUGAGACGCGAAAGCGUGGGGAGCGAACAGG
rnacentral:rRNA from 1 species